rnacentral:rRNA from 1 species
AACGAACGCUGGCGGCAGGCUUAACACAUGCAAGUCGAGCGCCCCGCAAGGGGAGCGGCAGACGGGUGAGUAACGCGUGGGAAUCUACCCAGCUCUACGGAACAACUCCGGGAAACUGGAGCUAAUACCGUAUACGUCCCUCGGGAGAAAGAUUUAUCGGAGUUGGAUGAGCCCGCGUUGGAUUAGCUAGUUGGUGGGGUAAUGGCCUACCAAGGCGACGAUCCAUAGCUGGUCUGAGAGGAUGAUCAGCCACACUGGGACUGAGACACGGCCCAGACUCCUACGGGAGGCAGCAGUGGGGAAUAUUGGACAAUGGGCGAAAGCCUGAUCCAGCCAUGCCGCGUGAGUGAUGAAGGCCCUAGGGUUGUAAAGCUCUUUCACCGGUGAAGAUAAUGACGGUAACCGGAGAAGAAGCCCCGGCUAACUUCGUGCCAGCAGCCGCCGUAA